rnacentral:lncRNA from 1 species
CUUGGUUUUUAUACGACCGCAAAAAUUUUAAUUUUUCGUCGUAUAUUGCUAUCACGUUGGCGUCGUCGUCGUCCUGCGUCGUCGUCUUGCGUCGUCGUCUUGCGUCGUCCGAAUACUUUUAGUUUUCGCACUCUAACUUUAGUAAAAGUGAAUAGAAAUCUAUGAAAUUUUAACACAAGGUUUAUAACCACAAAAGGAAGGUUGGGAUUGAUUUUGGGAGUUUUGGUCCUAACAUUUUAGGAAUUAGGGGCCAAAAAGGGCCCAAAUAAGCAUUUUCUUGGUUUUCGCACUAUAACUUUAGUUUAAGUGAAUAGAAAUCUAUGAAAUUUAAACACAAGGUUUAUGACCACAAAAGGAAGGUUGGGAUUGAUUUUGGGAGUUGAGGUCUGAACAGUUUAGGAAUUAGGGGCCAAAAAGGGGCCAAAUAAGCAUUAUUCUUGGUUUUCGCGCAAUAAUUUUAGUAUAAGUAAAUAGAAAUCAAUGAAAUUUAAACACAAGGUUUAUGACCACAAAGGAAGGUUGGGAUUGAUUUUGGGAGUUGAGGUCUGAACAGUUUAGGAAUUAGGGGCCAAAAAGGGCCCAAGUAAGCAUUAUUCUUGGUUUUCGCACCAUAACUUUAGUAUAAGUAAAUAGAAAUCUUUGAAAUUUAAACACAAGGUUUAUGACCAUAAAAGGAAGGUUGGGUUUGAUUUUGGGAGUUUUGGUCCCAACAGGUUUUUAGGAAUAAGGGGCCCAAAGGGUCCAAAAUUGAACUUUGUUUGAUUUCAUCAAAAAUUGAAUAAUUGGGGUUCUUUGAUAUGCCGGAUCUAACUGUGUAUGUAG